CCUACGGGAGGCAGCAGUGGGGGAUAUUGGACAAUGGGGGAAACCCUGAUCCAGCGAUGCCGCGUGAGGGAAGAAGGUUUUCGGAUUGUAAACCUCUGUGGAGGGGGACGAUAAUGACGGUACCCCUUUAGGAAGCCACGGCUAACUACGUGCCAGCAGCCGCGGUAAUACGUAGGUGGCGAGCGUUGUCCGGAUUUACUGGGUGUAAAGGGAGCGUAGACGGUGCAGCAAGUCUGAUGUGAAAGGUCGGGGCCCAACCCCGGGACUGCAUUGGAAACUGUUGAACUGGAGUACAGGAGAGGUAAGCGGAAUUCCUAGUGUAGCGGUGAAAUGCGUAGAUAUUAGGAGGAACACCAGUGGCGAAGGCGGCUUACUGGACUGUAACUGACGUUGAGGCUCGAAAGCGUGGGGAGCAAACAGGAUUAGAUACCCUUGUAGUC
rnacentral:rRNA from 1 species